AAAACGGGCAACAUGGCCCCUUUUCAUUCCAAACUUUGAAGUAAGAUCUACUGUACUUAAGUUUUGAAGCUCAGUAAGGGAAUUCCCUGACUCCUCAAACUUAUCUGCGUAUUGCAUCAGAGCUCGAUCAUGCAGAUGUGCAGAAAACAAGCUUAACAACUUCCUAAUCAAAGUUUGUUUCGGCAAUAAUCAUUCAAAUGGGAAUAGAGGCAUUUACUAGGGAAACACAAGAAUCACUCAGCUGCCAACACAGAUGAUAUUCUCUAGAUAUAUACAAGAAGACCGAAUUUAGUAUAAGAACCUUUUGCCGUUUAGUCAUGUUCAGCUCAUUCAUAUCAUCUACAUUCAUAAUCUU